UGCUUAAGACUGCGCCCCAACAAGUGAGU
rnacentral:piRNA from 1 species